rnacentral:rRNA from 1 species
GAUCCUGGCUCAGAAUCAACGCUGGCGGCGUGCCUAACACAUGCAAGUCGAACGCGAGAGGGGAGUAAUCCCUGAUCGAGUGGCAAACGGGUGAGUAACACGUGGGUGACCUACCUUCGAGUGGGGGAUAACGUCCCGAAAGGGACGCUAAUACCGCAUGACAUCCUGCUUUUGGACAAGCGGACAUUAAAGCUGGGGAUCGCAAGACCUGGCGCUUGAAGAGGGGCCCGCGCCUGAUUAGCUAGUUGGUGAGGUAACGGCUCACCAAGGCGACGAUCAGUAUCCGGCCUGAGAGGGCGGACGGACACACUGGGACUGAGACACGGCCCAGACUCCUACGGGAGGCAGCAGUGGGGAAUUGUUCGCAAUGGGCGCAAGCCUGACGACGCAACGCCGCGUGGAGGACGAAGAUCUUCGGGUCGUAAACUCCUGUCGAGCGGGAAGAAUGCUUUUCGGGUGAAUAAUCCGAAAAAUUGACGGUACCGCUAAAGGAAGCCCCGGCUAACUCCGUGCCAGCAGCCGCGGUAAUACGGGGGGGGCAAGCGUUGUUCGGAAUUACUGGGCGUAAAGGGCUCGUAGGCGGCCAACUAAGUCGGAUGUGAAAUCCCCAGGCUCAACUUGGGAACUGCAUCCGAUACUGGAUGGCUUGAAUUCGGGAGAGGGAUGCAGAAUUCCAGGUGUAGCGGUGAA